rnacentral:rRNA from 1 species
AUUGAACGCUGGCGGCAGGCCUAACACAUGCAAGUCGAGCGAGCGGCGGACGGGUGAGUAAUGCCUAGGAAUCUGCCUGGUAGUGGGGGAUAACGUCCGGAAACGGGCGCUAAUACCGCAUACUAUCGGUUGUGUCUCGAUGGGAUUAGCUUGUAGGUGAGGUAACGGCUCACCUAGGCGACGAUCCCUAGCUGGUCUGAGAGGAUGACCAGCCACACUGGAACUGAGACACGGUCCAGACUCCUACGGGAGGCAGCAGUGGGGAAUAUUGCACAAUGGGCGCAAGCCUGAUACAGCCAUGCCGCGUGUAUGAAGAAGGCCUUCGGGUUGUAAAGUACUUUCAGCGGGGAGGCGUUACCCGCAGAAGAAGCACCGGCUAACUCCGUGCCAGCCGCCGCGGUAAUUC